UGCAGUCGAACGGCAGCACAGGAUAGCUUGCUAUCCGGGUGGCGAGUGGCGGACGGGUGAGUAACGCGUAGGAAUCUACCUUUUCGUGGGGGAUAACCCGGGGAAACUCGGGCUAAUACCGCAUACGCCCUACGGGGGAAAGCGGGGGACCUUCGGGCCUCGCGCGGAACGAUGAGCCUGCGUCCUAUCAGGUAGUUGGUGAGGUAAUGGCUCACCAAGCCGACGACGGGUAGCUGGUCUGAGAGGACGACCAGCCACACUGGGACUGAGACACGGCCCAGACUCCUACGGGAGGCAGCAGUGGGGAAUAUUGGACAAUGGGGGAAACCCUGAUCCAGCAAUACCGCGUGUGUGAAGAAGGCCUUCGGGUUGUAAAGCACUUUUAGCAGGAAAGAAAGGCCGUGCGCUAAUACCGCAUGGUUCUGACGUUACUUGCAGAAAAAGCACCGGGCUAACUCCGUGCCAGCAGCCGCGGUAAUACGGAAGGUGCAAGCGUUAAUCCGAAUUACUGGGCGUAAAGCGCGCGUAGGCGGCUUGUUUAGUCGGAUGUGAAAUCCCCGGGCUCAACCUGGGAACUGGCUUCAAUCCUGGCUGGCUAAAGUG
rnacentral:rRNA from 1 species